CCCUUAGAUGUUCUGGGCCACACGCGCGUUACACUGAUGAAGCCAGCGAGUAUAUCGCCUUCACCGGAAGGUGCGGGUAAUCUUGUGAAACUUCAUCGUGCUGGGGAUAGACCAUUGCAAUUAUUGGUCUUGAACGAGGAAUUCCUAGUAAGCAUGAGUCAUCAACUCAUGCUGAUUACGUCCCUGCCCUUUGUACACACCGCCCGUCGCUACUACCGAUUGAAUGGUUUAGUGAGAUCUCGGGAUUGGAGACGUUGCGCCGCAAGGCACAUCGUCCUCGAGAACUUGAUCAAACUUGAUCAUUUAGAGGAAGUAAAAGUCGUAACA
rnacentral:rRNA from 1 species